GCUGAAAAUCUGUAGAAAAACACAAGGAAGGAUUUCUGGGGCCAAAUGUUUAUUCAUCUGCAUUUUUCUCAUCAUUUAAGCAUCGUAGCUGGAAGACAAGCGUGGACAAGGAGAAUCUUUUCUUCAGCUGAGUGCUGUGGCUUUGGCAGGAGAAGAGGCCUCCAAUUUCAACCACAUGUUCUCCUCUUAUCCACACCACCCGAGACAGAGAGAGGCAGACGGAGGCCUGAAAAGAUGCUAACGUUGGACAAAAAGGCAUGAAGGACUUAAAGAAAUAUUAUUAUUAGUAGUAUUAUUAUAACUAUAAAUAGACAUAAAGCAUGAUUUCACUCUCGACCAAAUUAAAAUUGUCAUAUAAAAGCAAUCAACAUUCUCAUAUUUCCAAAGAUGCUAAAUACAUCCUACUAACUAACUGACUAAAUAAAUAAAUACUCAAAUAAUGAA